UCCCCCGUAGUGUAAUUGGCAGCACAGUGGCUUUUGGUGCCAUUAGGUUCGGGUUCGAGUCCUGACGGGGGAGCCC
rnacentral:tRNA from 1 species